rnacentral:rRNA from 1 species
GUUGUAUGGUUAAGUGACUAAGCGUACACGGUGGAUGCCUGGGCAGUCAGAGGCGAUGAAGGACGUACUAACUUGCGAUAAGCGCAGAUAAGGCAGUAAGAGCCGUUUGAGUCUGCGAUUUCCGAAUGGGGAAACCCAACUGCAUAAGCAGUUACUGUUAACUGAAUACAUAGGUUAACAGAGCAAACCGGGGGAACUGAAACAUCUAAGUACCCCGAGGAGAAGAAAUCAACCGAGAUUCCGGUAGUAGCGGCGAGCGAACCUGGAUUAGCCCUUAAGCACUCGGUGAAGUAGGUGAACAAGCUGGAAAGCUUGGCGAUACAGGGUGAUAGCCCCGUAACCGACGCUUCAUCGAGCGUGAAAUCGAGUAGGGCGGGACACGUGAUAUCCUGUCUGAAUAUGGGGGGACCAUCCUCCAAGGCUAAAUACUCCUGACUGACCGAUAGUGAACCAGUACCGUGAGGGAAAGGCGAAAAGAACCCCUGUGAGGGGAGUGAAAUAGAACCUGAAACCGUGUACGUACAAGCAGUAGGAGCACCUUCGUGGUGUGACUGCGUACCUUUUGUAUAAUGGGUCAGCGACUUAUAUUCAGUGGCAAGGUUAACCGUAUAGGGGAGCCGUAGCGAAAGCGAGUCUUAACUGGGCGCUCAGUCUCUGGAUAUAGACCCGAAACCGGGUGAUCUAGCCAUGGGCAGGUUGAAGGUUGAGUAACAUCAACUGGAGGACCGAACCGACUAAUGUUGAAAAAUUAGCGGAUGACUUGUGGCUAGGGGUGAAAGGCCAAUCAAACUCGGAGAUAGCUGGUUCUCCCCGAAAGCUAUUUAGGUAGCGCCUCGGACGAAUACUACUGGGGGUAGAGCACUGUUAAGGCUAGGGGGUCAUCCCGACUUACCAACCCUUUGCAAACUCCGAAUACCAGUAAGUACUAUCCGGGAGACACACGGCGGGUGCUAACGUCCGUCGUGGAGAGGGAAACAACCCAGACCGCCAGCUAAGGUCCCAAAGUAUUGCUAAGUGGGAAACGAUGUGGGAAGGCUCAGACAGCUAGGAUGUUGGCUUAGAAGCAGCCAUCAUUUAAAGAAAGCGUAAUAGCUCACUAGUCGAGUCGGCCUGCGCGGAAGAUGUAACGGGGCUAAGCAAUACACCGAAGCUGCGGCAAUGUCUUUUAGACAUUGGGUAGGGGAGCGUUCUGUAAGCCGUUGAAGGUGAAUCGUAAGGUUUGCUGGAGGUAUCAGAAGUGCGAAUGCUGACAUGAGUAACGACAAAGGGGGUGAAAAACCUCCUCGCCGGAAGACCAAGGGUUCCUGUCCAACGUUAAUCGGGGCAGGGUGAGUCGACCCCUAAGGUGAGGCCGAAAGGCGUAAUCGAUGGGAAACGGGUUAAUAUUCCCGUACUUCUGACUAUUGCGAUGGGGGGACGGAGAAGGCUAGGUGGGCCAGGCGACGGUUGUCCUGGUUCAAGUGCGUAGGCUUGAGAGUUAGGUAAAUCCGGCUCUCUCUAAGGCUGAGACACGACGUCGAGCUACUACGGUAGUGAAGUCAUUGAUGCCAUGCUUCCAGGAAAAGCCUCUAAGCUUCAGAUAGUCAGGAAUCGUACCCCAAACCGACACAGGUGGUCGGGUAGAGAAUACCAAGGCGCUUGAGAGAACUCGGGUGAAGGAACUAGGCAAAAUGGUACCGUAACUUCGGGAGAAGGUACGCUCUUGAUGGUGAAGUCCCUCGCGGAUGGAGCUGACGAGAGUCGCAGAUACCAGGUGGCUGCAACUGUUUAUUAAAAACACAGCACUGUGCAAAAUCGCAAGAUGACGUAUACGGUGUGACGCCUGCCCGGUGCCGGAAGGUUAAUUGAUGGGGUUAGCGCAAGCGAAGCUCUUGAUCGAAGCCCCGGUAAACGGCGGCCGUAACUAUAACGGUCCUAAGGUAGCGAAAUUCCUUGUCGGGUAAGUUCCGACCUGCACGAAUGGCGUAAUGAUGGCCA